rnacentral:rRNA from 1 species
GUUCAGAGUACGUGAAACCGUUCAGGGGUAAACCUGAGAAACCCAAAAGAUCGAAUAGGGAGAUUCAUCGUCAGCAUGUCUCGUAUAUGUAUGAGUUAUGAUGCGAGUUACUUUUGUAUUGCUUGCACAUUCUUGUAUAUUUAAUUGCGGGAUAUGUCGGCGUGCACUUCUCCCUUAGUAGAACGUCGCAACCCGUUGAGUGUUGGUCUAUGACCCGAGUGAGAGUCUUGAAUGUUUUUAACAUUGAAGAUCCUUGGUGUUCUGAUUAACUGUUUGACGGUACUCGUAUGGUAUUAAGUCGCAUACUUUAUGCGUCCAUAUCUGUCACAAGCGAGGUUAAUUUCUGGCAGUACGGACCUAGUGCCGUCGUUGGAUUUGACCGGCUGUUGGUUGAAGAUAUAUCAAGAUUGACUUA